AGCUCCACACUCUAGACCAGCACCUACUGCACCUGUUCAAUAAAACAAGAGACUCAGGCCAAUAACUCAAGCUCCUCCUCAGGUUCCAGCAGUAGGGCGCGGUAAGACCUGUCAGCACUGUGGCAAGGAUCAUGGGGAACGAUCCUACUAUCUCCUCAACAACACCUGCUGCAUAUGUGAUAGUGCCCAUCAUUAUGCAAGGGAGUGCCCGAGGAACCAGAAUAAGGUCAGACCUCAUAUCUAGGGUAGGGCUUACAACCUUACUCAGCAGGAUGUAGAAGCCGACCCUGGUACAGGGUAC
rnacentral:lncRNA from 1 species